rnacentral:rRNA from 1 species
GACGAACGCUGGCGGCGUGCUUAACACAUGCAAGUCGAACGGAAAGGCCCUGCUUUUGUGGGGUGCUCGAGUGGCGAACGGGUGAGUAACACGUGAGUAACCUGCCCUUGACUUUGGGAUAACUUCAGGAAACUGGGGCUAAUACCGGAUAGGAGCUCCUGCUGCAUGGUGGGGGUUGGAAAGUUUCGGCGGUUGGGGAUGGACUCGCGGCUUAUCAGCUUGUUGGUGGGGUAGUGGCUUACCAAGGCUUUGACGGGUAGCCGGCCUGAGAGGGUGACCGGCCACAUUGGGACUGAGAUACGGCCCAGACUCCUACGGGAGGCAGCAGUGGGGAAUAUUGCACAAUGGGCGGAAGCCUGAUGCAGCAACGCCGCGUGCGGGAUGACGGCCUUCGGGUUGUAAACCGCUUUCGCCUGUGACGAAGCGUGAGUGACGGUAAUGGGUAAAGAAGCACCGGCUAACUACGUGCCAGCAGCCGCGGUGAUACGUAGGGUGCGAGCGUUGUCCGGAUUUAUUGGGCGUAAAGGGCUCGUAGGUGGUUGAUCGCGUCGGAAGUGUAAUCUUGGGGCUUAACCCUGAGCGUGCUUUCGAUACGGGUUGACUUGAGGAAGGUAGGGGAGAAUGGAAUUCCUGGUGGAGCGGUGGAAUGCGCAGAUAUCAGGAGGAACACCAGUGGCGAAGGCGGUUCUCUGGGCCUUUCCUGACGCUGAGGAGCGAAAGCGUGGGGAGCGAACAGGCUUAGAUACCCUGGUAGUCCACGCUGUAAACGGUGGGUACUAGGUGUGGGGUCCAUUCCACGGGUUCCGUGCCGUAGCUAACGCUUUAAGUACCCCGCCUGGGGAGUACGGCCGCAAGGCUAAAACUCAAAGGAAUUGACGGGGCCCCGCACAAGCGGCGGAGCAUGCGGAUUAAUUCGAUGCAACGCGUAGAACCUUACCUGGGUUUGACAUGGAUCGGGAGCGCUCAGAGAUGGGUGUGCCUCUUUUGGGGUCGGUUCACAGGUGGUGCAUGGCUGUCGUCAGCUCGUGUCGUGAGAUGUUGGGUUAAGUCCCGCAACGAGCGCAACCCUUGUUCACUGUUGCCAGCACGUUAUGGUGGGGACUCAGUGGAGACCGCCGGGGUCAACUCGGAGGAAGGUGGGGAUGACGUCAAGUCAUCAUGCCCCUUAUGUCCAGGGCUUCACGCAUGCUACAAUGGCUGGUACAGAGAGUGGCGAGCCUGUGAGGGUGAGCGAAUCUCGGAAAGCCGGUCUCAGCUCGGAUUGGGGUCUGCAACUCGACCUCAUGAAGUCGGAGUCGCUAGUAAUCGCAGAUCAGCAACGCUGCGGUGAAUACGUUCCCGGGGCU